GGGGCAUGGAAGCAGGGCGUUAAGCGUUUAUCUCAAUGGAAAUGAACCACUCGAGGAGAAUCAGAAGAGAGCUGGAGCGGGCUGGGCAGGGGAGACUGUCUCUUCUGUGCGGGGAUUUGAGGAGCGCCUUCAGAAAAAUGAGCGAGAUUUUGCUUCCUUUCAUGGAAUUUAUAGCCCACAGCCCCGGUGGCCUGCCCUCCAGUGAAACUUUGGGAACCUUUCAGGACAGUCGUCUUGACUGUGCAGCAGACACCUAAGACACCUAUUGCUGUCUGCCCAGCAUCCAUUCCUGUUUCUUCAGACCCCAUCUGCUUAUCUCGAGCGAAGUUUGGGGAACAGCUCCGUCCUAUUGUGAGCCCAUCAUUUUGCAAAUCUAUUCCCGUCAGAGCUCUCAUUAUAGCAGAUGUCAGCGGAGGAAUCCGAGCUGUCGGGGACCGCCAACCAUGAAAAGGAGGGGCCCGGGGGCGGCGAGGCAAACAAAACAGCCGCCCCCAAAAACGUAAACAGGCCUGUGUGUCACAAUAUUUUCCCACAUCGCCCGGCCAUUCCAGGGGACUUAUUUCCAAAAGAAAGGGGGGGCGGGGGGGAAUGACUGUAACAAUACAGAGGCAGAAGCCGUCAAGUUCAUUUCCUCCAAGUGGAAGGAUUCGUAACCUCUUCCUAAAAUCAUCUUUCUCUGCAACAAAAGUUGAUCAUAUGUUUAUU